rnacentral:rRNA from 1 species
ACGAACCGGACAAACGUUAUUCGGAAUCACUGGGCUUAAAGAGUGCGUAGGCGGCGUUGUAGGUGGGGUGUGAAAUCCCUCGGCUCAACCGAGGAACGGCGCUCCAAACCCCAAUGCUUGAGGGAGGCAGAGGUGAGCGGAACUGAUGGUGGAGCGGUGAAAUGCGUUGAUAUCAUCAGGAACACCAGUGGCGAAGGCGGCUCACUGGGCCUCUUCUGACGCUGAGGCACGAAAGCUAGGGUAGCGAACAGG